GAUAGAUUAGUUAGAAAGAAAGAAAGAUUAGUUAGAAAGAAAGAAAGAUAGAUUAGUUAAAAAGAAAGAUAGAUUAGUUAGAAAGAAAGAAAGAUUAGUUAGAAAGAAAGAUAGAUAGAUUAGAUAGAAAGAAAGAACGAUAGAUUAGUUAGAAAGAAAGAUGGAUAGAUUAGUUAGAAAGAAAGAUAGAUUAAAAGAAAGAAAGAAAGAAAGAAAGAAAGAAAGAAAGAAAGAAAGAAAGAAAGAAAGAAAGAAAGAAAGAAAGAAAGAAAGAAAGAUGGAUUUGUUAGAAAGAAAGAUUGAUUAAUUAGUUAGAAAGAAAGAUAGAUAGAUUAGAUAGAAAGAAAGAACGAUAGAUUAGUUAGAAAGAAAGAUGGAUAGAUUAGUUAGAAAGAAAGAUAGA